UGUCACAGUACAAAGGAUGACGAUCAAAAAUGAGUUAUACGAUACAGAGAAGAUUAGCAUGGCCCCUGCGCAAGGAUGGCACGCAAAUUCGUGAAGCGUUCCAUAUUUUU